rnacentral:rRNA from 1 species
UACAGAGGUCUCAAGCGUUGUUCGGAUUCAUUGGGCGUAAAGGGUGCGUAGGUGGUGCUGUAAGUCAGGUGUGAAAUCCCGGGGCUCAACCCCGGAACUGCACUUGAUACUGCAGUGCUCGAGGACUGGAGAGGAGAUCGGAAUUCAUGGUGUAGCAGUGAAAUGCGUAGAGAUCGGGAGGAACACCAGUGGCGAAGGCGGCUACCUGGACCAGCACUGACACUGAGGCACGAAAGCGUGGGGAGCAAACAGG